UGAGGAAUAUUGGUGCAAAUGGGCGGGAGCCUGAACCAGCCAAGCCGCGUGAGGGAUGAAGGCCCUAUGGGUCGUAAACCUCUUUUGUCAGGGAACAAAAGCGAGUAUGUAUACUAGUCUGAGUGUACCUGAAGAAAAAGCAUCGGCUAACUCCGUGCCAGCAGCCGCGGUAAUACGGAGGAUGCGAGCGUUAUCCGGAUUUAUUGGGUUUAAAGGGUGCGUAGGCGGCGAUGCAAGUCAGCGGUAAAAGCCCGGGGCUCAACCCCGGCGAGCCGUUGAAACUGCAGUGCUAGAGAAGGCGAGAGGUACGCGGAAUGCGCAGUGUAGCGGUGAAAUGCUUAGAUAUUGCGCAGAACUCCGAUUGCGAAGGCAGCGUACUGGCGCCUGACUGACGCUGAGGCACGAAAGCGUGGGGGAUCGAACAGGAUUAGAUACC
rnacentral:rRNA from 1 species